rnacentral:rRNA from 1 species
AAUACCGCAUAACGUCUUCGGACCAAAGGGGGCUUCGGCUCCCGCGCAAAGAGUAGCCUAAGCGAGAUUAGCUUGUUGGUGAGGUAAAGGCUCACCAAGGCGACGAUCUCUAGCUGUUCUGAGAGGAAGAUCAGCCACACUGGAACUGAGACACGGUCCAGACUCCUACGGGAGGCAGCAGUGGGGAAUAUUGCACAAUGGGGGAAACCCUGAUGCAGCCAUGCCGCGUGUGUGAAGAAGGCCUUCGGGUUGUAAAGCACUUUCAGUUGUGAGGAAAGGUUAACGGUUAAUACCCGUUAGCUGUGACGUUAGCAACAGAAGAAGGACCGGCUAACUCCGUGCCAGCAGCCGCGGUAAUACGGAGGGUCCGAGCGUUAAUCGGAAUUACUGGGCGUAAAGCGCACGCAGGCGGUUUGUUAAGCUAGAUGUGAAAGCCCUGGGCUCAACCUG